CACGGCUGUCCUUCAGAAAAAAACACAAGUUAAAUCCUUUGGAAGUGAUAAACGAAUAGUUGGCUUGUGGUCAUCCAACGUCGUUUAUUAUACUUCACCCCGUUGUUUGUCCGACUCGGGUAACCGUCAUUUCUAAACCAAUUCUAGUCAACCUAGAGUAGAGCGAAACCAAAUCCAAAUCUAAGCAUUAGCCUAAGACGGCUUAAUACCCAAGGCGUAUUAAGUCCAUUAGUAAAACCGCCA
rnacentral:lncRNA from 1 species